GACGAACGCUGGCGGCGUGCCUAAUACAUGCAAGUAGAACGCUGAAGAGAGGAGCUUGCUCUUCUUGGAUGAGUUGCGAACGGGUGAGUAACGCGUAGGUAACCUGCCUUGUAGCGGGGGAUAACUAUUGGAAACGAUAGCUAAUACCGCAUAACAAUGGAUGACACAUGUCAUUUAUUUGAAAGGGGCAAUUGCUCCACUACAAGAUGGACCUGCGUUGUAUUAGCUAGUAGGUGAGGUAACGGCUCACCUAGGCGACGAUACAUAGCCGACCUGAGAGGGUGAUCGGCCACACUGGGACUGAGACACGGCCCAGACUCCUACGGGAGGCAGCAGUAGGGAAUCUUCGGCAAUGGGGGCAACCCUGACCGAGCAACGCCGCGUGAGUGAAGAAGGUUUUCGGAUCGUAAAGCUCUGUUGUAAGUCAAGAACGAGUGUGAGAGUGGAAAGUUAACACUGUGACGGUAGCUUACCAGAAAGGGACGGCUAACUACGUG
rnacentral:rRNA from 1 species